rnacentral:rRNA from 1 species
CCUACGGGGUGCAGCAGUGGGGAAUAUUGCACAAUGGGCGCAAGCCUGAUGCAGCCAUGCCGCGUGUAUGAAGAAGGCCUUCGGGUUGUAAAGUACUUUCAGCGGGGAGGAAGGCGAUAAGGUUAAUAACCUUGUCGAUUGACGUUACCCGCAGAAGAAGCACCGGCUAACUCCGUGCCAGCAGCCGCGGUAAUACGGAGGGUGCAAGCGUUAAUCGGAAUUACUGGGCGUAAAGCGCACGCAGGCGGUCUGUCAAGUCGGAUGUGAAAUCCCCGGGCUCAACCUGGGAACUGCAUUCGAAACUGGCAGGCUAGAGUCUUGUAGAGAGGGGUAGAAUUCCAGGUGUAGCGGUGAAAUGCGUAGAGAUCUGGAGGAAUACCGGUAGCGAAGGCGGCCCCCUGGACAAAGACUGACGCUCAGGUGCGAAAGCGUGGGGAGCAGACAGGAUUAGAUACCCUUGUAGUC